rnacentral:snRNA from 1 species
GUAAUUGGUUGGCUGCGACAUCUGUCACCCUAUUGAUCACCAGGGUUGAUUCGUCUGAUCUGGCUGGCUAGGGGGGUGUCCCCUUCCUCCCUCACCGCUCCAUGUGCGUCCCUGCGGAAGCUGUGCGCCUGGUUGAAGAGGACGACCUUCCCUGAUAGGAGGACUGUCCUUUGGUCAAGGGCAUACGAGUAGCUGUGCUCCCCUGGUAGAACCUCCAAACAAUGAGUCUGGAGGUCUCAAGGUGAGUCUGGUUUUGGUUUGAAUUCAUCUUCUCAGGGAGCACUGUUGGCAUU